rnacentral:rRNA from 1 species
UACGUAGGCAGCAAGCGUUGUUCGGAGUUACUGGGCGUAAAGGGUGUGUAGGCGGUUCUUUAAGUUUGCUGUGAAAUAUCCCGGCUUAACCGGGAGGGUGCGGUGAAUACUGAGGGACUAGAGUACGGGAGAGGAAAGUGGAAUUCCUGGUGUAGCGGUGAAAUGCGCAGAUAUCAGGAGGAACACCAAUGGCGAAGGCAGCUCGCUGGGACGGUACUGACGCUGAGACGCGAAAGCGUGGGGAGCAAACAGG